GAUUAAAUUUAAUACUUUACCAUGCUUAUCCACGAUUUAUUUUUUGUUGUGCUUAUGAAGUGAAUUUUGCUAAUCUUGGGACUUGUUUAAUAUAUAUUUUCAUUUGUUCGGUACGGUAUCAACACAACAUCGCGUUUUCCAGCAUUCUUACAAAUAAUACGCGUUUUAGUUAUUUUUCAAUACGAGUGCUUUUUCACGCUGUUUCUCGAAUGAAUCUCGGAAAGGAAAACGGAUACGUGGGCAAAAUGCUUGAAAUAGAUGCCUAGCCGUUUAUUACCAGCACUACCAGUCUGCUUCCAGUUCCGCCAUUGUGUUGUGUUCAGCUAUCAUCAGAGACAUUUGGCCCAGGAAAGUUGCCACAGAAAGCCAUUAAAAGCUCAGCAUUUGAGAGUAAAAUGAGAAACCGAUAAUUACGAAUAUGAUGAUUAUUUUAUGGGAGAGCUCCAUUCCGGUCUUCGCGAGCAAGUCGGCAACAGCUGCGACAAGUGUGGGAAAUUGAUUGUGACCAAAGUUAAAAAGAUUGGAAGAUACACCAAGAUAUGAUUCAAAUACAAAGAAAUACAUGCGCU
rnacentral:lncRNA from 1 species